GGAAUCUUGGACAAUGGGGGCAACCCUGAUCCAGCCAUGCCGCGUGGACGAUGAAGGCCUUAGGGUUGUAAAGUCCUUUCGCCGGGGAAGAUAAUGACGGUACCCGGUAAAGAAGCCCCGGCUAAAUCCGUGCCAGCAGCCGCGGUAAGACGGAGGGGGCUAGCGUUGUUAGGAAUUACUGGGCGUAAAGCGCACGUAGGCGGAUAGUUAAGUCGGGGGUGAAAUCCCGGGGCUCAACCCCGGAACUGCCUUCGAUACUGGCUGUCUGGAGGUCGAGAGAGGUGAGUGGAAUUCCGAGUGUAGAGGUGAAAUUCGUAGAUAUUCGGAGGAACACCAGUGGCGAAGGCGGCUCACUGGCUCGAUACUGACGCUGAGGUGCGAAAGCGUGGGGAGCAAA
rnacentral:rRNA from 1 species